GGUUUGUGGCUCAGUGGGAGAGCACUUGCCUAGCAUGUGUGAGGCACUGGGUUCAAUCCUCAGCACCA
rnacentral:tRNA from 1 species